CACAUGGAAAUACAUGAGUUCCAUUUGUGAAAGUCAUCUUAUAUAGAUGAGAGGUUGGACGGAAUUGGCCACUGGCAUAAUUGAGAGCAAAGAUCUCAAUGAAAACCCAAUGACCAACAGAUAACACCAACUCUAGAGUUUCACCAGUGCUGGCUGUGUACUGCCGCCAGGAGUGAAGUACCUUCACUUGGACUCUCCAUUGUGUGGUGUAUGGCCUGACAUCUUUGAGAUUGCCUUGGCGAAAAUAAAGGAACAACGGAGAUUGCAUUUGGCGAAAAUAUACUUAAGGUAUGAGAGAUGUUAUUUGAAUUGAUUUUGGUAAAAAUAAGUAGAAGAAUUAAAGACAACAUGGCUUUAUUUAUUAGUUUGAAAUUAAUACAACAUCCCUUAAAUCUCUUAUUCUAGAUCCGAACAGAAUUAAACCGGGUCAAACCCGGAUCCAAAAGAAUUAAAGCAAAAAAGUACUG